UGGGUAGGUCAAGGCUUAUACACGAUAUUGGACACAAGGAAGGUCGUCGGCAGAGAGGGUACGGUAUUACCCGCGAGCAUAACCGUAGCUAGGGGAACGGUGCUUACACGACUGAUUCAACAUUUCCCUCACCGCUUAGGCAUACCCUAGGCUUGCCUUAGGCACUCUCGUAUCCUACUAAGUCGGCUGGUAUUCAUGGGCCCUCUUAAAAUAAAUGAAGAAAUGGAUGCUUUUAUCAGAGAAGUCUCUUUAUGAGGCUUAGGGAGUGGAAUUGUUUUUGUCGUGAGAAGAAGUCCUGCCGUGACAGGACUCCCCAGUUUUGGCGACCACUACAAACAAGUCAUAGGCCUACCAUAUGUUUGUACACUCAAGACAGAUAGUGUACCGUAUAUUUAAAUUGGACCUCAUUGAAUAUGGGCUGGACUCAGGCCUAAUGGGCAUUCCUGAUGCUAAUCACGUGAUGUAGACAAAGAAGCCA